rnacentral:lncRNA from 1 species
CUCUAUGCCUGUUCUUCAACUGCUGUGGCUACCACUAUUCCAAGAGACAGAAUAAGAAAGUUAAAGACAACAAGAAAUGGGUCUGUAAGGCCCGAAGUGAGUGGUGUGGCAAACGACUGGACUCACUCACAUGAAUAUAAGGCUAAUCCAUUCAGGAACAGACUAAGUCUCGUCCUGACCUACUUGUCGUUUUUCUGUAAAGACCACUCGAGGUUUUAUCAACUUGAUCAACAGGUAUGUUCAUAGUAAACCCGAGUAACCAUUUUUGUACAGUGAAUAAAGUAUUUUUAAU